rnacentral:rRNA from 1 species
CAGUCGCCGCGGUAAUACAGAGGGUGCGAGCGUUAAUCGGAUUUACUGGGCGUAAAGCGUGCGUAGGCGGCUUUUUAAGUCGGAUGUGAAAUCCCUGAGCUUAACUUAGGAAUUGCAUUCGAUACUGGGAAGCUAGAGUAUGGGAGAGGAUGGUAGAAUUCCAGGUGUAGCGGUGAAAUGCGUAGAGAUCUGGAGGAAUACCGAUGGCGAAGGCAGCCAUCUGGCCUAAUACUGACGCUGAGGUACGAAAGCAUGGGGAGCAAACAGGAUUAGAUACCCCCGUAGUCCCUGUCUCCUAUAC